GACGAACGCUGGCGGCGUGCUUAACACAUGCAAGUCGAACGGUAAGGCCCUUCGGGGUACACGAGUGGCGAACGGGUGAGUAACACGUGGGUGAUCUGCCCUGCACUUCGGGAUAAGCCUGGGAAACUGGGUCUAAUACCGGAUAGGACCACUGCCUGCAUGGGUGGUGGUGGAAAGCUUUUGCGGUGUGGGAUGGGCCCGCGGCCUAUCAGCUUGGUGGGGGGGUGAUGGCCUACCAAGGCGACGACGGGUAGCCGGCCUGAGAGGGUGACCGGCCAAACUGGGACUGAGAUACGGCCCAGACUCCUACGGGAGGCAGCAGUGGGGAAUAUUGCACAAUGGGCGCAAGCCUGAUGCAGCGACGCCGCGUGAGGGAUGACGGCCUUCGGGUUGUAAACCUCUUUCAGCACCGACGAAGCGCAAGUGACGGUAGGUGCAGAAGAAGGACCGGCCAACUACGUGCCAGCCGCCGCCGUAA
rnacentral:rRNA from 1 species